rfam:Myotis davidii contig215667, whole genome shotgun sequence.
GGCAAUUCUCAGGUGAUGCACCCUGGAAUCGGGCUCCCUCCUCUCAGGCUCUGGGUAGUCACCAGAGAACUGCA